CACGGGGGAGCAAGCGUUGUUCGGAAUCACUGGGCGUAAAGGCGUGUAGGCGGUCAGGUAAGUGAGAUGUGAAUGCCCCGGCUCACCCGGGGACCGGCAUCUCAUACUGCUUGGCUUUGAGUACGGGGAGAGGAUGGUGGGAAUUCCUGGUGUAGCGGUGAAAUGCGUAGAUAUCAGGAGGAACACCGGUGGCGAAGGCGCACAUCUGGCCCGAUACUGACGCUGAGGCGUGAAAAGCUAGGGGAGCAAACGGG
rnacentral:rRNA from 1 species